rnacentral:rRNA from 1 species
AACGAACGCUGGCGGCAAGCCUAACACAUGCAAGUCGAACGAAGCCUUCGGGCUUAGUGGCGGACGGGUGAGUAACACGUGGGAACCUAUCCAGUAGUACGGAAUAACUGAGGGAAACUUCAGCUAAUACCGUAUACGCCCUGAGGGGGAAAGAUUUAUCGCUAUUGGAGGGGCCCGCGCAGGAUUAGCUAGUUGGUGGGGUAAAAGCCUACCAAGGCUACGAUCCUUAGCUGGUCUGAGAGGAUGAUCAGCCACACUGGGACUGAGACACGGCCCAGACUCCUACGGGAGGCAGCAGUGGGGAAUAUUGGACAAUGGGGGCAACCCUGAUCCAGCUAUGCCGCGUGAGUGAAGAAGGCCUUAGGGUUGUAAAGCUCUUUCACUCGUGAAGAUGAUGACUGUAGCGAGAGAAGAAGCCCCGGCUAACUCCG